CCUGUUUCCUUCUCCUUCUCUACUAAUGUUUCCUAUGGGACACUCCAGCUUCACAGGGAGUGUCCCAGUAAGGUGGAUCACAGGUGUGCAGGCAAAGGGCCAUGAACUCACAGAGUAGGCUCGGUUGGUAGGUGUCCCAACAUUACCAAGCACUCUUUUCCCUCCUUUUAGUCCCCCUAUUACUUAAUUCUUCAUCAUUUCCUUAACCAGAAAGAGGUCUAGACAAUGGACAUACUUGAAAAUGAAAUGCCAUGC
rnacentral:lncRNA from 12 species